rnacentral:rRNA from 1 species
GAUGAACGCUAGCGGCAGGCCUAACACAUGCAAGUCGAGGGAGGAGCUUUCGGGCUUCGACCGGCGUACGGGUGCGUAACGCGUAUACAAUCUGCCUUUCACAUAGGGAUAGCCCGAAGAAAUUUGGAUUAAUACCUAAUGGUAUAUAGGAGUGGCAUCACAUUUAUAUUAAAGCUGAGGCGGUGAAAGAUGAGUAUGCGUUCUAUUAGCUAGUUGGAGAGGUAACGGCUCCCCAAGGCGACGAUAGAUAGGGGUUCUGAGAGGGAUAUCCCCCACACUGGUACUGAGAUACGGACCAGAAUCCUACGGGAGGCAGCAGUGAGGAAUAUUGGACAAUGGUCGGAAGACUGAUCCAGCCAUGCCGCGUGCAGGAAGACGGCCUUAUGGGUUGUAAACUGCUUUUGCAGGGGAAGAAUAAGGAUUACGAGUAGUUUGAUGACGGCACUCGGCGAAUAAGCAUCGGCUAACUCCGUG